rnacentral:lncRNA from 1 species
UAUGGCAAGUGUACAAAGAGAGUUCUGGAAGGUGACCCCUCAACCUUUCAUAUCUCUUCUGCAUGGAAAAUUACAACCUUUAAUUAUAACUCAAAUCAAUUUAUUUAAUAUAACAUUAUUUUGCUGUAAAAUUCAUGUGACACAAAAUAAAUAUUUACAGACUAAAAACAUCAUGAAAGUUUAAUUAUAUUAUCUCAGGAAAAUAUAACUCCAGAGCACAAUUUAAAAUCCAAAGUUUUCAAAAUAAAGAAUUUUGCAUGAGCUCUAACCUGUAGAACUGACCCUGUGAAGUCUUUUAGUUCAUGAAAAAGAAAAAUAUUUCACUUCCAUUUAGUCAAUAGAUUACUGACAGUAAAUUUGCUAAUGAUACCUUGAGCCCUAAAAUUAGAUUUCUUUAACUGUUAGAUGAACCAAUGGUUUCCAAAUCAUGCUGAAAGCUAGCAGCUACAGCUCCAAAUUGACCCCUGGCCUGGGAACCUCCAUAUUCUGUGGGUGAGGCCCUAAAAAGGAAAAAAAAAAAAACAAGAAAUAAAAUAAAUAAAUAGAUAAAUAAAUAACUCUAAAUGCAUAAAAACAGAAAGUAGAUUUGUGAUUGCUGGGGGCAGGGGUAGAGUGGGGAAAAAAUGGUUGAAAGUGAUCAAAGUGUUCAAACUUCUAGUCAUAAGAGGAAUAAGUUCUGGGGAUGUAAUGCAUAUCAUGAUGAAUAUAGUUAACUAUACUCUAUUGUAUACUUGAAAAUUGUUAACCAUAGAUCUUAAAAGUUCUCAUCAAACUCACAAAAUAAUGAUAGCUAUGUGAGGUGAUGGGUGUGUUAUAUAACCUUAUUGUGGUAGAAAUUUCACAUACAUAUAUAUAUAUCAAACUAUCACAUUGUAUACAUUAAACUUACACCAUAUGUCAAUUACAUCUCAAUAAAUAAAAUUAAAUAACGAAUGCUUAUAAAAAUUACUACUCUCAAGAAAUUUUUAAAACAGAAAGAUUUAUGUCAGAAAUUAUGUUCUUAAUCAAAUUAAUCAUGAUCUUUAAUGAAAAUAUAAGUAAAAUAUGGUAGAUCAAAAAGAGGUAAGGAUUCAGAACACUGACAAUUUCAGAAUUCAUUACUGAACUUAUUAGGGUUUAAGUAUGUAUACAUGAGUGUGUGUAUGUAUGAGUAAGUUAGGAAUUGAGAGCAGAAAAGGGAAUUUUGAAAUAGGAAAACAGAGAGAAAAAUAUUUCUUUACUUACUGGGUCAGUGAGUCUUUCUUGGGCCACAUUCUGUUAUUCUCUUAGUCCUUCUUAUCCAGGCAAUAAGGUAGGGCCAAUUAGAUAAUGAACUGUUUCAAAAUAUCUGUAUAGCAAAAAAUAUAUAUAUAUAUAGUGGUCAUCUGUUGCUACUCAGGAUCCAUUUCUUUUCUGAGAUCAGAACCAUUAGUUUUCUGGAAAACACUUGACCCAACCCUGAGUCCAAGCUUGUGUUUUGAAUGGGAGAUGACAUGUUAGUACUUUCUAGAUGUAUGAGAAAUAUAACUCUGGAAUGGCUCAUUACUGUGUUCCCGAACUUUAGAAUGUCAGUUUGCACCAAAGAAGAUAAGACCAACAUAAAGAGGAAAGCAAAGAUGAUGAUGGACCAGCUGUCCUGGGGAUUAGUUCUGCACUUUCUUGUAUUGGGUUAUAUAAGGUAUCCUAGUACCUUUCAAAUAACUUUCUUGCUGUAUUUUAAGCUUAUUCAAACAGGUUUCUUAUACUCUAAAGCAACAGCUCUGGUGGAUACAGUGUAAUAGUAGAAUGCAUGUUUUCAAUGGUCAGACAAACUUCACUGAAGCAAUAUAUAAUGGUCAGUAGAUGAUUGUUGUGGUCCACUUAGACAGGAGUGAUAGUCUAAACUAUGUGGUCAGAGAGAUGAACACCAAGUAAGUAGAUUUAUUGCUUUAAUAGGAAGAAAGCCAGAAUGGACUCUUUUAGGGACAAUAUUUUUCAAUAUGUAGCCCCUAGACACCUGCAUCCUAUUCACUUAGAGUGAUUGCUAAAGUCAACAUUCUUGGGCCCCAGCCUAGACCCAGGUCAUCAGAAUCUCUGGGGAGUGAAAGGAACUUUCUUAAACUAGCAUUCCAGAUGAUUCUAAUGUGGGUUAGAGGUUGAGAACCACUGCCUUGGAGGAAUGGUUGCCAUUACUAGGAUGCUAAUAUAAUGCAGUGUUUAGAGGUAAUACAUGCACAGUAAGGAUCCAAUUGUGCAGAGUGCAGAAAAAAACAUAGGAGAAAAAUCCAGACAGUGCUUUCCUAUGGUCAUUAUGUUAUAAUGACUAGAAAUGGAGAAAGAGCAGAUGAAAGCAUGGGACCUAAGAACUACAUAUCAGUAAUAAAGUAGAUUAAAAGUUUAAUAUAUACAUUAUAUAUAUAAAGAGAAAACACUGACUUGGUGUUCUUAUAUAGGAAAACAAAGACAAUCAAAUAUGAUUUCUGCAUUCCUUUGUUGCUGCUAUAUGAAUGUUUAUCCACUGCAAAUAGCCAACAUAUGCAUGAAAAAUUAAAAAUCCAUUCAAAGCAAUGAAUUAAUGGCCUAAUGUAAAACAACUAUCCCAAACUAUCUGUUCAAUUUCCCCUCAACUGUAUCAAACAAAUUUGCUACUGAAAUGGUGGUUUCAACUUCCAUUAAGACUGCCCAUCUGAUUUAAGUAAAUUUUUUCACCUUGAAAAUGAACUCAUAAUUUUAUGGCUUGUACUGUGUUGAAAGAUCUUAAAUCAGAGACCUUAAUCCAACCAAUUUUCACACACACACACACACACACACACACACACACACAAAUGCCCCAAGUACAUUUCAAACUAGAUGAAUAAAAUAUCAAAUGAAGAAUCAUCAUGCAUAUGACCAUUUGCUCAAAUGAGUUCAUUUUUUUGUAUCUAGCCAGCAAGAAUCUAUUUCUACAAGAAAUGCAGGAGUUAAUGCCUCUGAGAAGAACAGCCACAAUCUAACCAUCUUGUCAAAUCCAUUCCCUGGAACCUCAGGGGUAGAGCCUUCCUACCAGCUUCAGGGAGGCCGCAUCAGCCUUUCCUUCCAUUCCUCAAUCUUCCAUUGUCAGACCGUGUUGGUAAUUGGUUUUUAAUUGGUUCAUUUACCCGAAUGAUUUAUACUGCCUCAGGUAGACAAGAUUUAAUGACACCCAUUACAGGGCUUUAGAUUAUUUCACAAAUAGAUAUGCUGUUGUCCUUCAAGAUUGAAGAUCCAUGCAUAUGAGUGUUAUCAUUCAUACAUCUCUGAUGUAGAAAAGUCCAGCGAGGCUAACAAGGAUAAAAAUCAGAGUUUAUCAACUGUGGACUAUGGACAAGGCAUUUUGCUAAGUUCUUUAUACACAUUAUCUGAUUUAACAGGCAUUUCCAUGAGAAGAGAAAUAAACAGAAAAAAGUGUCCAAAGAGUUGCAUUUGUUUCUGAACAGAAACUGCUUACAACUGUUUCUCCUUAACUUUCUGGAUGAUCACUUCCUUUGCUCAAAUUAGUGGCCCCACUUUGAGCAGUAAAUAAUGUACUCAGAAAAUCACUGAAGAAGUUAGAUAAGACAUCUAGCUUAAUUCUGGGUUCUGAUAAUAAUUGUGGGACUUUAAUCCAAUUAUUUAACAUUUGGGUUUAGACUGGCUCUCCGGAAUGCACUCUCAGUAGUCCUUAGAUAAUGUGGUUCACUGCAUAUGCCUAUUUCUCAUUUUGAUUGAUUAGCUACUUGAGGUACUGUCAAAUCUUCCUACAGUGUAACCUAUGCUUGUACUUCAGUGUUCUCUUAAAAUAUAAUUUCUGCCUAAUAAGAAAACCGUUUAAUGUCUAAAAAAGUUAUAAUUACUUUUCAUAUAUGUAUCAUCACAUAGGUGAAUUGAUAUGCAUUGGUAUUUAGAGAUUCUAAUGUUGUUUAUAUAAAACAAGAAAUUCAAGUGGACUCUUCUGAAUGAUAAAUUUGGAUAAAUUUAGAGAGGCACAUUUUAGGAUUGGGACUUUGUUCAAUUAUAGAUUUGCACAGAAAUCAUACAAAUAAUUUGGCAGGGCAUAACGUGUCUGGCUUUUACAAGAAAUAAUCUUUGGCAAACCUAGAUAUUUUGACAAGAAUAUUUUUUCUUACUUGGUUUAAAAAAAUGUUUAGUAUUUACUUUGUACUCAGAAUCAUUGACAGACUUUUGCUGAAUAUCCACUCCUUCAACACGCACAAUUUCUGAAAAUAAUGUUGCAUUUUUCUAAUUGUUUCUCACAGUAUCCCAAGUUUAGGGAAGCAGAUUUACAAGAUUUACUUCAAUUGUUAGAAAACUGUGGAUUAGUGCAAACGUAUUUAAAUGUGAUCAGACCUUCAUGUGUGCUCAUAUGUGCAUGCCUUGAUUCUUCAAAUAAAUUCAGUUCAGUUGUAUAUAACUGGAAAAAAACUUAAAAUGGAGCAGGCUGCUUACCUCAGAAUUUAUCUGUUCUAAGGAGGAGAAAAAUAGUCUUUUAAAGUGUCAGUUGUGGAGUUCCUAUUGUGGCUCAGCCAGUUAAGAACCCAAUUAGUAUCCAUGAGGAUGCAGAUUUGAGAUCCCUGGCUCAGUGGGUUAAGGAUCCGGCAUUGCCACAAGCUGUGGCAUAAGUUACAGAUGCGGCUAGGAUCUGGCGUUGCUGUGGCUGUAGUGUAGGCUGGCAGCUGUAGAUCUGAUUCAACACCUAACCUGGGAACUUCCAUAUGUCGCAGGUGUGACC